UCCUCGUUUAAGCGAGGCAGUCUGUCCAGAGUGCUCCGAACUCUCGUUCGGGUGGCAACAGGACACAAGGGUUGCGCUCGUUGCGGGACUUAACCCAACAUCUCACGACACGAGCUGACGACAGCCAUGCAGCACCUGUGUAUCCUGGUAUUGCUACCUCGUCACCCUUUCGGGCUUCUACUAGAUACAUGUCAAGGCCAGGUAAGGUUCUUCGCGUUGCAUCGAAUUAAGCCACAUACUCCACCGCUUGUGCAGGCCCCCGUCAAUUUCUUUGAGUUUUAAUCUUGCGACCGUACUCCCCAGGCGGCACAUUUAACGCGUUAGCUUCGCCACAAAAGGGGUCGAAUCCUCUUACAGCAAAUGUGCACCGUUUACAGCUAGGACUAC
rnacentral:misc_RNA from 1 species